rnacentral:rRNA from 1 species
CGGCCAUACCGGUUCUCGUUCGAUCACCGAAGUCAAGCAUCAUUGGGCGCGGUCAGUACUUGGGUGGGUGACCACCUGGGAACACCGCUUGCCGU